rnacentral:piRNA from 1 species
UAGGGUGGUCUGGGACUUUAAGUACA